ACUCUCGGCAACGGAUAUCUCGGCUCACGCAUCGAUGAAGAACGUAGCAAAAUGCGAUACUUGGUGUGAAUUGCAGAAUCCCGUGAACCAUCGAGUUUUUGAACGCAAGUUGCGCCCAAAGCCAUCUGGUUGAGGGCACGUCUGCCUGGGCGUCACACAUCGUGUCGC
rnacentral:rRNA from 1 species